UUGUGGAGGAGGACGCCGAAGGUGGGGCUAAUGACUGGGGUGAAGUCGUAACAAGGUAGCCGUACCGGAAGGUGCGGCUGGAUCACCUCCUAACAGGGAGACAACAAAAUAUAAAUAUUAAUUUUGUCACCUUAGGUCGAUCGGUAUCUCAGAUUCUUUUUAAAGAAUUUCAGUUUCUAAGUUUUUUCUAGGUCACACCCAUCACUUUUUCCUGGGCCAUUAGCUCAGGUGGUUAGAGCGCACCCCUGAUAAGGGUGAGGUCCCUGGUUCAAGUCCAGGAUGGCCCAUAUCUCUAUGUUGGGGGUAUAGCUCAGUUGGUAGAGCGCCUGCUUUGCAAGCAGGAUGUCAGCGGUUCGAGUCCGCUUACCUCCACUGAAUACCACCUCUUGCAUAUAUUUAAAGAGGGAAAUUGUUUUGAGUCGUGUCCUAAUUUGCUCUGAGCGAAUCUAGCUUCCUAUUUUAUUUAAUAAAUAAGAUGCUGGACUCAUUGAAAUUUUUUUUCAUUGUUUUUCAGAGAACCUUGACAACUGCAUAGAUUAUUUUGAAGACAAUAAGCAUCUUUAAUGAUGCAGAUUUAUUAUUUGUGCGAAUGCAUUAAAUAACAAUUCUAUUAAGCUGAUGCUUCAAUUAUUGAAGUUAUUGGUCAGCUACAA
rnacentral:misc_RNA from 1 species